GCAGUUGGAACAGUGAGUGACAGGAGGGUGAGGGUGUUGUAUGCUGUGCCAUGGUAUCGUGUAGAUGGUGCAAGCAGGCUGAAUGUGUGAGUGGACGCAUGAAUGUGAGCAUAAGUGGGGUAUGUAAGGUGAGCGUGUCUCCCCCUGCAUCCUUACCCCCUACCCCCAGCCUACACAUUGAUCUUAUUUGAUGGGGUUGUGUCUCCAGCCCCACCAGACCAGCCUGAGACGAAAAGCUCUCCUCCUGUGAAGUACCAUCCCCUGGGUGCAAGGCCCCUUGGUAGCAGCAACACCAGGGUCUCAGAGCCAUUUCCACUGGGCCAGUGCUUAGAAGUGAUGAAUUGAACAGGUAGAUGGGGCCGGGCUUAUCCUGGGCCACUGAUUCUCCAGUGGAUUGUAGCCUGA